CACACGUUAAUACAGAGCAGCUGCCAUAACAUUAGCUGUGUGACUCUAACUGGGGACAUUAGCCGACAGUUCCAAAGAAUCUGGUGGCAGUGUCUAUUUGCAAGUGUGAUGAGAUGUUGGAUUCAGAUGACUGCGCUCUAUCCCUGGACAAUCUCUUUUUUGAGAAACCCAUCGUCCAUAAAGUGAAGCCAUUAUUACGCCAAGAGACGAGUCAAUGGCAGCUGGAAAUGCCGCCAUGUUUGUCCCAGAUCCCUGCCACUCAGGACAUG
rnacentral:lncRNA from 1 species